AUUGAACGCUGGCGGCAUGCCUUACACAUGCCAGUCGAACGGCAGCACGGGUGCUUGCCCCUGGUGGCGAGUGGCGAACGGGUGAGUAAUACAUCGGAACAUGUCCUGUAGUGGGGGAUAGCCCGGCGAAAGCCGGAUUAAUACCGCAUACGAUCCACGGAUGAAAGCGGGGGACCUUCGGGCCUCGCGCUAUAGGGUUGGCCGAUGGCUGAUUAGCUAGUUGGUGGGGUAAAGGCCUACCAAGGCGACGAUCAGUAGCUGGUCUGAGAGGACGACCAGCCACACUGGGACUGAGACACGGCCCAGACUCCUACGGGAGGCAGCAGUGGGGAAUUUUGGACAAUGGGCGAAAGCCUGAUCCAGCAAUGCCGCGUGUGUGAAGAAGGCCUUCGGGUUGUAAAGCACUUUUGUCCGGAAAGAAAUCCUUGGCUCUAAUACAGUCGGGGGAUGACGGUACCGGAAGAAUAAGCACCGGCUAACUACGU
rnacentral:rRNA from 1 species